UAUAUAAAGUCCCAAAGAGCCUCCCAUUAUCUGUACCAGCUAAAAUCCAAGUUCUCAAGUUUUGCAUUGCUUUCUUGCACACUUUUUCUUUCUUCAAUCCAUUCUUUACUUGUCUUUAUUAUCAAGGCAUCUCAAAUUUAUUCCAAUUUCUCUCUCUGAAAUACUUACAAAAUAUCUAUAUCGAACAAGUUUUUGAAGCUCCAAAUCUGAAGAAAUGGCACUUGCUACAAUUUACACCACAGCAACACCUGCUGCUGCAGCAAUAGGGCUUUAUUUCUUUGUUAGAAAUCACUCCACCAACCAGGAAACUGGAGUACGAGGUUACAUUACCAAUUUUCUAGCGGAAGUUAAGAAAGAGGUCAAGAGUGGUCAAAUGCCAAAGUUGGCACCACAUUUUGAUGGUUUAAACUCUUUUGAAACCCUGGUUGGUCAUUAAUCCAGGCUGUGGAAUUCUGAGCGAAAAUUGAAUAUUUUCGUAUUAAUGUUGCAUUUAUAAGACAAUAUCUACAUUAGCAAACAACAAUAUCGGUUUGUCUUUUGUUGAAUCUAUCUUUAAUUUUUAAUGAAUCAAUUUAUACGGUGAUGAUUUAUCUUU